rnacentral:lncRNA from 1 species
AUGCUGGAGACACGCUCGGCUCCAGACCACAGAGCAGACGGCAGGGCCAGGCAGGUGGAAAAUUCCCCCUGGCGUGCAGCCCAGGCUCUGUGCCUGCCAGGUGGGCCCCAGCCAGGUCUGGGGGACUGCAGGCAGUCUGGCAGCCACAGGGAGCUGGCCGGGGCCUCCCAGCUCAGCUGCCCCCACCCAGACUCCAGAGUCCUGUCUGCUCAGGCCGGCAGACGGGACAGGAAGCUGUGGGAAGCUUGUGGAGGUUUGUUGGGACCUUGGAGCUUCUCGGCAGUUGCAGCCCUGGGUGGAGGUGGCCGUGCGAGCUCCUUGCCGUCCCCCGGCCAAGUGAGUGGUCCCGGGACCCUUGUGGAGGGCUGGGGGCUGCAGCUGUCUGCAUGGUCAGGCGGGCAGAGCUCUGGCAGGUGUCGUGGCGUGGAUGUCCCUGUGUCUGCUCCUGCUCGCUGCCAGCCUCCACCUGGUGACCUUGGGCGGGCACUCUCCGGCUCAGGCCUCUCUGUGUUCCUCUGGGACUGUUGGGCUCUCCUCCUGGAAGGACAUGAAGCCACACCCACCAGACCUGGGAAGUACAGACUCUGCAGGCCCGUGGGAUUUGGGGCUGGGGGGCAGGACACGUCCCAGGUCCCUUGUGCUGGAAGCCAGGGUGGGGGCCCUUGUACCACGGCCUACUCCUGGCCGCCGUUCCUCCUGGCCUGUCUCCCUGAAGGCCCUUCCCAAAGCCUGGAGCUGCUUUCUGGAAUGUUUACCCACAAACAUUUUUAUGUCGCUGGUCGGUUCAGUGGGGCUUUGGAAGCCGAGGAAACCCCUUUGGCUUUUCCAGGUUUCGUGGCCAGCCAGUCCCUCACAUCGCUCCCACUUGGAGGACCCGGGAGGCCCGCCGUCCCAGGCGCAGUGGGCUCACGCCCCACUGGAAGGCUACCCAGAGGGCAUGACCCACUGACCGUGCGUCACCGCCGACACGGGUGGGGAGCACGGUCCGUCUGGGCAGAGGAGGUGCUGGAGAUAAGACAGGGCAUGACCCCGACUCCAUGA